ACAUAUAAGCAAUUUGCAGUUAGUUUCGACCUAAAAGAUAGAUUUAUUUAAUCUAUAUGUA
rnacentral:tRNA from 1 species